rnacentral:misc_RNA from 3 species
GAGUACGACCAUACUUGGGUGAAAACACCAUAUCCCGUCCGAUUUGUGAAGUUAAGCACCUACAGGCUUAGUUAGUACUGAGGUCAGUGAUGACUCGGGAACCCUGAGUGCCGUACUCCCAACUCCUUUUUGCCUUUCGCGCCGUGCCUGGCUGGUGUCGGCACCACCGCCAUGCCCGCGCAAUCAUCCUCGCCGGUUGCCUGUGCGCUGCCUUUCAGUGCUUUUCGGUGCUUUUUAACGGGCCCUUGCACGGCCACGCCUGCCAGCCGGUCCGCCACGUGCCUGCAUGCUGCUCUGUGUGGUGCCUUGUGUGGCUCUGCAGGCGUGACUGUCGGAGCGGCCACCGCGCGGUAGCACUGAGUACGACCAUACUUGGGUGAAAACACCAUAUC